UGCAAGUCGAACGGAGCUGAAAGGAGCUUGCUUUUUUCAACUCAGUGGCGGACGGGUGAGUAACGCGUGAGUAACCUGCCUUUCAGAGGGGGAUAACGUUCUGAAAAGAACGCUAAUACCGCAUAAGAUUGUAGUUUCGCAUGGAGCAGCAAUCAAAGGAGCAAUCCGCUGAAAGAUGGACUCGCGUCCGAUUAGAUAGUUGGCGGGGUAACGGCCCACCAAGUCGACGAUCGGUAGCCGGACUGAGAGGUUGAUCGGCCACAUUGGGACUGAGACACGGCCCAGACUCCUACGGGAGGCAGCAGUGAGGGAUAUUGGGCAAUGGGGGAAACCCUGACCCAGCAACGCCGCGUGAGGGAUGACGGUUUUCGGAUUGUAAACCUCUGUCCUCUGUGAAGAUAGUGACGGUAGCAGAGGAGGAAGCUCCGGCUAACUACGUGCCAGCAGCCGCGGUAAUACGUAGGGAGCAAGCGUUGUCCGGAUUUACUGGGUGUAAAGGGUGCGUAGGCGGAUUGGCAAGUCAGAAGUGAAAUCCAUGGGCUUAACCCAUGAACUGCUUUUGAAACUGUUAGUCUUGAGUGAAGUAGAGGUAGGCGGAAUUCCCGGUGUAGCGGUGAAAUGCGUAGAGAUCGGGAGGAACACCAGUGGCGAAGGCGGCCUACUGGGCUUUAACUGACGCUGAGGCACGAAAGUGUGGGUAGCAAACAGGAUUAGAUACCCUGGUAGUCCACACUGUAAACGAUGAUUACUAGGUGUGGGGGGUCUAACCCCC
rnacentral:rRNA from 1 species